rnacentral:rRNA from 1 species
UACGUAGGGGGCAAGCGUUGUCCGGAUUUAUUGGGCGUAAAGAGCGUGUAGGCGGCCACACAGGUCAGCUGUGAAAACUCGAGGCUCAACCUCGAGACGUCGGUUGAAACCGUAUGGCUAGAGUCCGGAAGAGGAGAGUGGAAUUCCCGGUGUAGCGGUGAAAUGCGUAGAGAUCGGGAGGAACAUCUGUGGCGAAGGCGGCCUCCUGGGCCAACACUGA